rnacentral:lncRNA from 1 species
UGCUGUGCUUUUGUUGCACAGGAUCACAUAUGUCCAGUCAACUCCUGGAGUUGCAGCUCCUUUGCCAUUGGGUUCAACACCUGCAGUCUCUUCCACCCACCAGACCCCAUCAUCUGCGGGUCCAUCUUUUUUGCGAUCUCCAGUGGCGACCCUUGGCUUCACUGCAAUUGCCCCAGCCAGUCAGGCCUUGGUUCAACCUAUUGUUGCAAGUCAGCCACCUCUCCUGGCUCAAUGCCCGCCCCCGAGUGGACUGGCACAACCUGCACAAGCCUCGACGGCCACUCGUCAACUUGUGACCACCAUUUACCCCAGCGUCAGUUUAGCCAGAGGAGUUGUGUCAGUGACAGCCGUGCCACAAAGCACAGCAAGUUCCACAUCAGUUCCAGCAUCAUCCUCAAUGCCUCAAGAGAAGACCCCCUCAGCCGCGGCUGCGCAACCACACGCGCAGCUGCAGUCUCAGGUAAACAUGCACAUGGAAAAUGAGAGAGGACCAGAAUCUAGGAAGGAGACGGAGAAACAGAGAGACCUGGUGGUGUCAAAGGAUGGACAUCAGACGCCACCUAGUGGUUUGGAGGAAUCGGUGCAGCACACACAUAAAGGUCAGCAUUGUGAAGGGAAGGAGGAUGGAAAGAAAGGGAGCAAAAUGGAGCGAGAGUCUGAGAGAGACGUAGGAGGGGACCCGUCUCAAACAGAGAGAGCUGAGAGAGCAAGAGCGAUGGAAGGGGAGACAGAGAGUCAAGCUGAGAUCAACAGCAAAGACGAGAGUCGAGAGGUAAGACGCUUUUCUCAGCUGUACAAUCCAACUUUACUAAAUUCAAACAGUUUUCAUAUGAAACUGAACUGUGCAGAUUCAGAUCCCCACAUUCUUCCAUAAUCACCUUUUGUUUUAUUUCUUCUUUCAGGCAGGACGCAGGGAAGCUUCUGUUUUGGACCCCCCACCACCCCCUUUGCAGACUGACCCCCCUUCAGUUAAAAAGACCAAGUUCCGACCACCUCCACUGAAAAACACCACUGAUGCUGGUGACAAGUGAGUGGCAUUGCCCAUGAUCAGUCGAGAGCAGUUUUUAGUAUACCAUUUAUAGU